AACCAGCCAUGCCGCGUGAAGGAUGACGACCCUAUGGGUUGUAAACUUCUUUUAUAGAGGAAGAAACUUGUCUACGUGUAGACAACUGACGGUACUCUACGAAUAAGGAUCGGCUAACUCCGUGCCAGCAGCCGCGGUAAUACGGAGGRUCCAAGCGUUAUCCGGAUUCAUUGGGUUUAAAGGGUCCGUAGGCGGGUCUUUAAGUCAGUGGUGAAAGCCGRCAGCUCAACUGUCGAACUGCCAUUGAUACUGGWGAYCUUGAGUACAAAUGAAGUAGGCGGAAUGAGUCAUGUAGCGGUGAAAUGCAUAGAUAUGACWCAGAACACCGAUWGCGAAGGCAGCUUACUAACAUGUAACUGACGCUGAGGGACGAAAGCGUGGGGAGCGAACAGGAUUAGAUACCCUGGUAGUCCACGCCGUAAACGAUCGAUCACUCGCUGUUGGCGAUAUACUGUCAGCGGCCAAGCGAAAGUAUUAAGUGAUGCACCUGGGGAGUACGCCGGCA
rnacentral:rRNA from 1 species